UUUCAAUGGGUUGGAACGAUUCCAACUCAACUCAUUAGGGUUUAUCGAUCAUCAAGAUAAUCCCUAUGAGUCCCACCAUCCACCAGUGACACCUAGCAGCAUGUAGUGGCUACCCAGCAGAAUAGAAUGGUGAACCUCUAGGUGCAGUUAAUAUGUGAUACAGUCCUACUAUCGUGGAUCCCUACAGGACGGAGGUCAUGGACAACUCGUCAAACCCCAUCGUCUGUCAUAUGUGAAG
rnacentral:lncRNA from 1 species